GCUUCCAAGAAAAGCCCUAUACCCGUUAAGGCAUGACGGCCUGUACCCGAAACCGACACAGGUGGGGUGGUAGAGAAUACCGAGGGGCGCGAGGUAACUCUCUCUAGGGAACUCGGCAAAAUGGCCCCGUAACUUCGGGAGAAGGGGUGCCACCGCAAGGUGGUCGCAGUGAAGAGGCCCAGGCGACUGUUUACCAAAAACACAGGUCUCCGCUAAGUCGCAAGACGAUGUAUGGGGGCUGACGCCUGCCCAGUGCCGGAAGGUUAAGGAAGCUGGUCAGCGUAAGCGAAGCUGGCGACUGAAGCCCCGGUGAACGGCGGCCGUAACUAUAACGGUCCUAAGGUAGCGAAAUUCCUUGUCGGGUAAGUUCCGACCCGCACGAAAGGCGUAACGAUCUGGGCGCUGUCUCGGAGAGAGGCUCGGCGAAAUAGAAUUGUCUGUGAAGAUGCGGACUACGUGCACCCGGACAGAAAGACCCUAUGAAGCUUUACUGUAGCUUGGUAUUGUGCCCGGGCCCUGAAUGCGCAGGAUAGGUGGGAGGCUUUGAUCCAUUGCUUGUGGGUGAUGGUGAGCCAACGGUGAGAUACCACUCUUUCAGAGCUAGGGUUCUAACGGUCACCCGUCAUCCGGGGACCGGACAGUAUCAGGUGGGCAGUUUGACUGGGGCGGUCGCCUCCUAAAAGGUAACGGAGGCGCGCAAAGGUUUGCUCAGGCUGGUUGGAAAUCAGCCGACGAGUGUAAAAGCAGAAGCAAGCUUGACUGUGAGACCUACAAGUCGAACAGGGACGAAAGUCGGCUUUAGUGAUCCGACGGUUCUGAGUGGAAGGGCCGUCGCUCAACGGAUAAAAGUUACUCUAGGAUAACAGGCUGAUCUCCCCCAAGAGUUCACAUCGACGGGGAGGUUUGGCACCUCGAUGUCGGCUCAUCGCAACCUGGGGCUGAAGUCGGUCCCAAGGGUUGGGCUGUUCGCCCAUUAAAGCGGUACGCGAGCUGGGUUCAGAACGUCGUGAGACAGUUCGGUCCAUAUCCGGUGCAUGCGCAGGAAUAUUGAGAGGAUUUCUCCCUAGUACGAGAGGACCGGGAGGAACGCACCUCUGGUGUGCCAGUUAUCGUGCCAACGGUAAACGCUGGGUAGCCAUGUGCGGAGAGGAUAACCGCCGAAAGCAUCUAAGUGGGAAGCCCACCUCAAGAUGAGUAUUCCCAUGGCGUUAGCCAGUAAGGUCACGGGAAGAACACCCGUUGAUAGGCUCUACGUGGAAGCCGGGUAACCGGUGAAGCGGAGGAGUACUAAUAGACCGAGGGCUU
rnacentral:rRNA from 1 species